rnacentral:rRNA from 1 species
CACGUAGGCACCAAGCGUUGUCCGGAUUUAUUGGGCGUAAAGAGCUCGUAGGCGGUUCAGUAAGUCGGGUGUGAAAACUUUGGGCUUAACCCAAAGCGUGCAUCCGAUACUGCUGUGACUUGAGUUCGGUAGGGGAGUGGGGGAAUUCCUAGUGUAGCGGUGAAAUGCGCAGAUAUUAGGAGGAACACCGGUGGCGAAGGCGCCACUCUGGGCCGAAACUGACGCUGAGGAGCGAAAGCGUGGGGAGCGAACAGG